ACUAUUAGGAGGUAUGUCCUUGUUGGAGUAGCUGUGGUCUUAUUGGAGGAAGUGUGUCCCAGAGGUGGGCUUUGGGCUAUUGAAUGAUCAAGUGUACAGAGUACAUUCAAGACCAUGAACACCAGUCAGUAGAUGUGAAGGCUCUAGGUUUUGGCCCCACAGCGCCACCUGUUGGCCACCCUGUUUCUGGAGGAGGCUGAUGGGCCACCAACACAGCAGAGGGGAAACAUGUAUCAGAGAAGCCCAGCAGACAGGGCCAUACCAACACAGCCCCUAGGGUCACAGU